CUUCUACGCAGAGGUAGACCCCGUCGCUGUUGAAAAUCUUGCGGAUGAAGCCAUUGGUGCUGAAGCCGCCAAGGAGCGAACCCUGCUCGAGUCCAAGUUAGGGGGUACUCGGAACAACCGGGUGUUCGCCUUCUUCGAAAUCGAGGCUCCUCGGCGCGUCGCCGACGCUCGGUUGGCUGAGGCCGAAGGGAGGAAGAAGACGAAAGGAGAGUCCUCGUGAGCAGCCGGGGGCAAACACAAGAAAACAUCCAAGGGCGGUGGUAACACCGGGGCCCUGGAGAAGAAAAAACACAGGGGCGAAGGGGGAAAAGAUCGCCCGAAGAAACGUUCCCGCCUUAUUGAUACCGUUCUCUCCCAGUCACCACUUCGUAGUAAAGGGGAUUCCGAAGGGGAUGCUGGUUCGAGCAGUCAUUCUGCCACCGUGGGGGGGGGGACUCUAGGGGGUCAUGCCAUCGCUGCGGCCCGUGCUACCGAGGAUGUUGUUGCUGCGAAGCCUGUAUUUUCGCUACAGCUCAGCGACAUCGAGCCUGAUAGCGACGAGGAGGUGGAAACGCGACUUCGCACAACACCGGCAUCAGUUGCAGCAGAAAAGGCCCUUGCAAUGACUGUAUCAUCCUCUGAGAAAGGCAGCAAGACAGAUGGAAACGAAGAGGAGCUGGAGGAUGUCCCUCCGUCUGGUGAUGCGGUGGCGAAGGGCAAAAAUGUUAUUGAGGAAGACAGCGGCAGCGGUUCGAGCUCCUCGGAGAGCAGUGGCUAUGUCAUAAGCACGUCUAGCCCUGCUGAAGUCGCCGAGGCCCUCGGUGCAACCAAUGCGAGGCUGAUCGGUGGUCACGUGGUUGGAAAACUUCGCUUCGAGAGCGGGCAACAUGAACGAACCUUCGUUGACGAAGCCGGGGACUCAUUUUGCUUUCCGCUCAUGGAGCGAAGGCUAAUGAGGACUGGGGCCGGUCACGCCAUUCGCUGUGCCGAGGAUCUUGCCUUGAAGUCAUAUGUUGCAGCUCGGUGCGCCCGUCGUCAGAUGGACGUGGAGCGAGGCCAGCCUUCGAGGAUUUCCGAACUGGAGCGGAGGGUCGCCUAAUUGGAGAGAGAGAAACAUGACUUGGAGGUGUCCCUCUCUACAGCGAAAGCUGAUACGGAGAACGCUCUUCUAGCGGCCCGCGAAGAAUCUGAAACCGCGAAGGUUGAUGCUGCCGAGGCUCGGCGACAACUGGAAGCGAAGAGUGAAGAGCUGUCCGAGGCUAAACGCAUGCACCUGGCUGCAAAGUGCAAACCAAGCUAUUAAUGCCUAUCGCGAAGCCGUUCGAGCUGGAGCCGAACCCCUUCAGCUCGAUGUUGCUGGCUUUUUAAGAUCUUUGGGUCUUUCCGCUCCCGACCUUUCUCCGAUGGCUAAUUCCGUUUCGAUUUCCGAAUUGUUUCGCUGGCUUCGGGCGUGCAUCGCCAUGGCUACCUCUGGUAGCCGUGCGAUGGGAGACUUAAGUGCUGCGGUGGCAGUGCGCUCUCUUAGUGCCACCAUCUGCAAGUUUAUCCCUGCCGAAGGAGGUGCCGAAGCCGUUGUGACAAAGGCUCGGCUUCGAUCGAUGCGUGAUUUAUCGUUCGCGUGGCCUUCACCGGAUGAGGUCCGCCCCGAAGCACUGCCGCCUCUUCCCAAAAACAUCGCCAAGAGUUUUACAGCUACUUUUUGUCAAGACAAGUGGUCGGGACCUCGUCCGUGCCGAGGCGGAACGACUUCGGAAGCAGCUUCAAGACAAUGCUGAGGCCUAUGCACUCAAUUUUCUCGGCCCCGCCAACGCGGGGAACCUUCAAGUCGUGACGACAAACGAAGCAGUGGACCCUACAGUUGGCAUGGAUGGAUGCGAAGCCCCACCACUUAAUGAUGAUGUAAAUGCUGCCGAGUGAAGAACUCUUUGUGUAAUUAUUUUGCGAAUGAACUGGUUGUUUUGUAAUAAAACUAACACCUUCGGUGUCCGUGCAGGACCCUGCGUUGGAACCUGCGCGGAUAACCGAAGGUAUCCUACCUUUGUGGAUGCGUUGUGGUUCUUUAUGUGUUGCCGGCGGUGCCUUGGCUAAAUAUUCUUAUGAUCA